rnacentral:rRNA from 1 species
GAUGAACGCUGGCGGCGUGCCUAAUACAUGCAAGUCGAGCGAACGGACGAGAAGCUUGCUUCUCUGCUGUUAGCGGCGGACGGGUGAGUAACACGUGGAUCACCUACCUCUAAUACUGGGAUAACUUCGGGAAACCGUAGCUAAUACCGGAUAAUAUUUUGAACCGCAUGGUUCAAAAGUGCAUGACGGUCUUGCUGUCACUUAUAGAUGGAUCCGCGUUGCAUUAGCUAGUUGGUAAGGUACCGGCUUACCAAGGCAACGAUGCAUAGCCGACCUGAGAGGGGGAUCGGCCACACUGGAACUGAGACACGGUCCAGACUCCUACGGGAGGCAGCAGUAGGGAAUCUUCCGCAAUGGGCGAAAGCCUGACGGAGCAACGCCGCGUGAGUGAUGAAGGUCUUCGGAUCGUAAAACUCUGUUAUCAGGGAAGAACAUAUGUGUAAGUAACUGUGCACAUCUUGACGGUACCUAAUCAGAAAGCCACGGCUAACUACGUG